CUUUGAGAUCGAGAUAUCGACACAUGGACACGUUGCCCAGGGUUAGGGAUGUCCAAGGCUCCCAUUAUAGAAUAAAGAUGAUGGAAGACACUGGUUCAGUUUCCCAUCCCAUGAUUAGAUAAAUCUAAUACUAACCUGGGGUGAUCAGCUCCGACAGGUGUAAACCACGUUUAUUGCUCCCACCACUAAGGGACCUUUUUGAUGAC